AUUGCAGAUAGGUGUCCCAAAUUCACCAUUUUAAGAAAACUCCACUCCACCUCUCCCACCCCCUUUCUUUCUCACUCAUUUUCUUAUGUGAGAGAGGAGCUAGCUAGGCUGAGUUUCUAGCUAGAGCUAUAUCAGCGAUAUCAAGUGAAGAGAAGGUGUGUGUGAGCAAGAUGGAGAAGCAGGGCACGUGCAUUACUAACUCAUGCACACAGAGUGAGAGAGACAUUUCUUGCUGGAGUUAUGACUCUUACCUACUAUAGAUUGUGUUGGCUUCAGCGAGUUAGUUCUUCAUGUGCCUGUCUUCCCCAUC
rnacentral:misc_RNA from 1 species